GGGUAUUUAGGUUGGUCGUGCCACCGGUACGUACUGGUCUCACUGAUUCCUCCUUCCUGAAGAACCGUAAUGCCAUUAAUUUGGUGUUGCGGGGAAACAGGACUGUUACUUUGAAAAAAUUAGAGUGUUUAAAGCAAGCUAACGCUUGAAUACAUUAGCAUGGAAUAAUGAAAUAGGACGAUCGAUCCUAUUUUGUUGGUUUCUAGGAUUGACGUA
rnacentral:rRNA from 1 species